UCUUCCAAAUAUGGCGUCAACUGGGUUAUCCGGGGGAUAUGAAGAAUUAAGAGGCGCGCCAGAUCUUCCAUUAAACAAGGACUAUCAUUUAUUUGUGUGUUACACACGUGAAAACUUGAAUGAAGUUCGUAUAAUCGUAGGUAAUUUGGAGAAGGAGGGGUACAAGUGCUGCUAUUAUGAAAGGGAUUUUACGGCUGGGCAAUCAGUACUUGAAAACACGGACCAGGCGAUGAACAAAAGUCUUCAUAUGCUAGUUAUUCUCUCAGAAGAUUUGACAACCCAACCGUUUGCCAUUCAUGAAAUUAAGGAAGCACUACAUAAAAGAAUAAGUGAUGGCUAUUCUAUUAUUCCAAUUCGGAUAGAGCCAUGUACGGUUCCGGAAUGUCUUAAGUCCAUAACUUGGAUUGAGUGUGCUGACGAUGACAUGCAUUGUAUGCAUAAAAAGAUUAUCGAUGCCGUUGUCCGAAAUGAUAUAGCGUCGGGGUUGAAGUAUCCAAAUAAUGGAGAAACUCAAGUGUUCUUCUUGAGUUCUUCUGGUGGCUUCCGUUCGUUGUCUAUUCCACGAUUUCACUUGAAAAUAGAGCCCACCAGUCUCUUGUCAAACAACAUUCAGCUGAAUAUGGAGGACAUCGAGGAAAUAGAAGCUAUCGUGAAUGAAUCUUUCCUUAUAAAAAAGUUGCAUGUUUUCGUCUUUUAUGGUCGCAUGGCAAUGCUUGUGUAUGGAGAAUUUUUACUAUUGCUGAUAGCAGUUAGUAUGCUCUUGGUAUUUGCACUGCUCGGUAAAAAACGGAUGACGUCGCCACCGUAGGAAGUGUGGUUGCUCGUACGAUUUUUCUUUGUCAUCUGACAAUAUCUGUUGCAGUGUUGUUUUCCUUGGUCGUGUGCAAAAGGUUACGAUUUUUUAGAGGAGUUAUUGACCAGGGAAACGAACAGAUACAAAAGAGAUUAUGGAGAUUUAACCAAAAUUACAAGACAUCACACACAUUUGUGUUGUUUCAUCACUAUACACGAUGUGUAAAAAUCAUAAAAUACAACACCAAACCUUGCAGGACAUUUCUAGCUAGACGCUGUGAACGGAAUGAAAACUUGAAAGACAAACUCGAUCCAAAUCUUCCGAUAGAGGAAGCUAUCGAUGUCCUGUUCGACAACUUACUAAGGAGUAACAUUCAAACUGUUGAACGAAUGGUAUGGCCUACUCGUCAUUAUUUGAAAAAUGGAGCGCAGUGCCUAUGUAUGCAAAUAGAAUGUGGUUAAGCACACGGUGGUCGGCCACUUCUCCCGCAAUAUUUUGAACAUUAAGGCAGAUCCAACGAUGCUGUCAACAAAAAAAGACUUAACACGUAUUAAUUCAAUAAACAUCCUUAAUUUUGAGUGCCCGAAAACCGGUUUAAACUAAGUGCGUUCUUGCUUAGAUUCCCCUGAUCGUGCCGAUGGUGGAUACCCAAACAUGACAAUAUUAAUAUAUUUGUUUAUGGGUCGGCCAUUAUUUUUGAACGUGUUCGUAUUUAUUUAAAACAUUUUCACGACCUGUCAGCGACACAGAGCCAUAACAAUGCACCCUGCCCCUGUGGUCAGUGAAAUAGUGAAUGUUUCAAUUGUCAUAAACGAUUAAAAGUACCUUCGAAAGCCCCAAUAUUUAGGCUUUUAUUUGAAUUUGAAAAAGAGCACUAUUUCUGGCGUUUACUUAGACUAUUUUUAUCAAGUUACAUGUACGCUUUUAAAAAAAUAUAGUAUAGGUCUGGACAAUAUCAAUAUUACAUUAUUAUGUCAAUUGAAUACCAGGCAAACUUCAAUAACUGACCCUUUAAUUUGCGUUUAAUGACAGGC